GGGCCAUAGCUCAGUUGUUAGAGCUUCUGCUUUCCAUGCAGGUCACAGGUUCUAUCCCUGGCAUCUCCA